AUGGGAAUUGUGCAUUUUCUUUACUAUGGGACUUGGACCAAUAAGAUUCCACAUGGGGCAGAGAACCGUGUGGAAUCCCCAUUGGUAAAGGUGGAAUGUCAAGACUAUAUAAGAAAGAAGUGGUUACAACCAGACCUAUGGGUGAGAAUGAAUGAGAAAUAUUUAGACCACACUGAGGGGCUAAUGUGGAGGUCCAAUGUACAGAAUAAGAAAAAACUUGCAGAAAUCAAGUGGAAGAAAAGCAUAUUAGAAAAGGGAGCUAAAAUGAAGACUCCAUCCCUGGGCUACAAAGUGAGGCACUACAGGUGCAUGAUGGAGUUUACCCUGGAACAGAGGGUUACCUUGUUGGAUGACUGUGGGGAGAGUGAAUUUUCUGUGUAUAGGGCUGGAUCAAGGAUCAUCACACAUGGGGCAGACAACCAUGUGGAAUACCCCUGAGUACUGUUGGUAUGUCGAACCCAUAUAACAAAGAAGUGGUUACAAACCGGGGGCCCUACGGGAGAAAAAUGAAUGAGAACCCAUUAUCAGGAUACUGAGGGAACAGGGUUGGAAACCAAUGGACAUUUGAAGAAAGCCUAUGCAGAAAUCAAGAGAUAGAAUAGGAUAUUAGAAAAAGGAGCAAAAGUCAAGACCCCACCCCUGGGCUGCGAGGUGAGGCACUACAGGUGCAUGAUGGUGUUUACCCUAGAGUACAGGGUUACCUUAUUGGAUGACUGUGGGAAGAGUGAAUUUUCUGUGCCAUAGGGCUGGCUCAAGGAUCAUCACACAUCGGGCAGAGAACAAUGUGGAAUACCCCUGAGUACUGUUGGUAUGUUGAACCCAUAUAACAAAGAAGUGGUUACAAACUGGGAGUCCUACAGGUGGAGAAUGAAUGAGAAAUCUUUACAGGACACUGGGUGUAAAGUGUUGGAUGCUAAUAAGCAUAAUAAUAAAGCCUGUUUUGCUUGAAACCAUACAGGGAAUAGCAAAGAUGCUUGAAAAUUGAGAAGAAAUAAAGACCUUACCUCUGGGCUGUGAAGUGAUGCAUUGUGGGAUGCCUGAUGGACUUUAUCAUGAUAGCAUUCCUUUUUGGAUGACUGUUGGAAUAGUGAAUUUUCUUUCCUAUUAGGCUGAAACCAGUAGCAUUCCACAUGGGACAGACAACCAUGUAGACUCUCCCUUUAUCCUGUUAAAAUGCAAGGCUCUGCCUUCAAGAAGUAAAUUAGUGACUGGUGUUGAAAAAUGGCUGAGAAACCUUUGUACUCUGAGGAUUAAGUGAUUAGGGCAAAAGAACAACAAAAGUUAUUGUUGAGGUAUUACAAUAUGUUAUAUAAAUAGCUAAUUAGAAUCCCUGCAGUCCCAGCUGAGCAGAGAGAUAGGGGAGUCUAGAUGCAGUGUGGCACCUUUUUUCAGAAAUCUCAUGUGGUUUGGGGUUGCAGUGAGUCUUCUUGGCUACAGGGUCUCAACAAGGAGCUACUUCCCUUGAUCUACAAUUCAGUGCUCCUUCACCCUUGCCCUGGAUGGAAAGGAUGCUCUGAUUGGCCAAGUAUUAGAAAGAAACCAGGGGCCCUGCCUCUGGGAAGUAGCUGUCAACCUAUAGUCAUAUAGUGCUGAAAUCCUGGUCACUGACCAAUAGAAAGGAAAGACCUGCCCUCUGACUGAAUAUCAAGACCCUCCUUGGUCUCAGAGAGCAAGAUAGCUUGUUGGGCCCCAUCUCUGGGGUCAGAGUGGGGCCCUCUGGGUGAACUGCUGCUUCCCCUGGCAGACCAGGGCAGCAUGGAACUGACUGGUGGUGACUCAAUGUCUGGUCUUUGCUAUGGGGCCAAUGCCAGGAGGACUGACAUGGAGUUGAGGCACCAUAUUCAUUU
ensembl:lncRNA